rnacentral:rRNA from 1 species
GGGGGGGCUACACAUGCAGUCGAACGGUAGCACAGAGAGCUUGCUCUCGGGUGACGAGUGGCGGACGGGUGAGUAAUGUCUGGGAAACUGCCUGAUGGAGGGGGAUAACUACUGGAAACGGUAGCUAAUACCGCAUAAUGUCGCAAGACCAAAGAGGGGGACCUUCGGGCCUCUUGCCAUCAGAUGUGCCCAGAUGGGAUUAGCUAGUAGGUGGGGUAACGGCUCACCUAGGCGACGAUCCCUAGCUGGUCUGAGAGGAUGACCAGCCACACUGGAACUGAGACACGGUCCAGACUCCUACGGGAGGCAGCAGUGGGGAAUAUUGCACAAUGGGCGCAAGCCUGAUGCAGCCAUGCCGCGUGUAUGAAGAAGGCCUUCGGGUUGUAAAGUACUUUCAGCGGGGAGGAAGGUGUUGUGGUUAAUAACCGCAGCAAUUGACGUUACCCGCAGAAGAAGCACCGGCUAACUCCGUGCCAGCAGCCGCGGUAAUACGGAGGGUGCAAGCGUUAAUCGGAAUUACUGGGCGUAAAGCGCACGCAGGCGGUCUGUCAAGUCGGAUGUGAAAUCCCCGGGCUCAACCUGGGAACUGCAUUCGAAACUGGCAGGCUGGAGUCUUGUAGAGGGGGGUAGAAUUCCAGGUGUAGCGGUGAAAUGCGUAGAGAUCUGGAGGAAUACCGGUGGCGAAGGCGGCCCCCUGGACAAAGACUGACGCUCAGGUGCGAAAGCGUGGGGAGCAAACAGGAUUAGAUACCUGGUAGUCCACGCCGUAAACGAUGUCGAUUUGGAGGGUUGUGCC